GGGGUUGUAGUCCAACUUGGUAAGAUACAGCCUUCGGGAGGCUGGGAUCGGGGUUCAAAUCCUCGCAACCCCA
rnacentral:tRNA from 1 species